ACGCUGGCGGCGCGUCUUAAGCAUGCAAGUCGAACGGCAAGGCAGGUGCUUGCACCUGCCCUAGAGUGGCGGACUGGUGAGUAACACGUGGGUGACAUGCCUUUUAGUUGGGGAUAGCUACUAGAAAUAGUAGAUAAUACCGAAUGUGAUCAAUAUUUAUAGAUGAUGUUGAGGAAAGGAGCUAAGGCUUCGCUAAAAGAUUGGCCCGCGGCCCAUUAGCUAGUUGGUAGGUAAAGGCUUACCAAGGCGAUGAUGGGUAUCCGGCCUGAGAGGGUGAUCGGACACAUUGGGACUGAGAUACGGCCCAGACUCCUACGGGAGGCAGCAGCUAAGAAUAUUCCACAAUGGACGAAAGUCUGAUGGAGCGACGCCGCGUGGAUGAUGAAGGCCGAAAGGUUGUAAAAUCCUUUUACACUGGAGGAAUAAGCAGAGUAGGGAAUGACUCUGUGAUGACUGUACAGUUUGAAUAAGCAACGGCUAAUUACGUGCCAGCCGCCGC
rnacentral:rRNA from 1 species